GGCCUGGUGGUCUAGUAGUAUGAUUCCUUCUUAGGGUUUCGCAUCGUUUGGAGGAGGUCCCGGGUUCAAUUUCCGGCCAGGCCC
rnacentral:tRNA from 1 species